rnacentral:rRNA from 1 species
CAAGUCGAACGAGAAAGUGGAGCAAUCCAUGAGUACAGUGGCGUACGGGUGAGUAACACGUGGGUAAUCUACCUCUUAGUGGGGAAUAACCAGGGGAAACUCUGGCUAAUACCGCAUAAGCCUGAGAAGGGAAAGCAGCAAUGCGCUGAGAGAGGAGCCCGCGGCCGAUUAGCUAGUUGGUGGGGUAAGAGCCCACCAAGGCAGAGAUCGGUAGCCGGCCUGAGAGGGCACACGGCCACACUGGCACUGAAACACGGGCCAGACUCCUACGGGAGGCAGCAGUGGGGAAUCUUGCACAAUGGGGGAAACCCUGAUGCAGCGACGCCGCGUGAGCGAUGAAGCCCUUCGGGGUGUAAAGCUCUUUCGUCAGGGACGAUAAUGACGGUACCUGGAGAAGCAGCUGCGGCUAACUACGUGCCAGCAGCCGCGGUAAUACGUAGGCAGCAAGCGUUGUUCGGAGUUACUGGGCGUAAAGGGUGUGUAGGCGGUUCUUUAAGUUUGGUGUGAAAUCUCCCGGCUCAACUGGGAGGGUGCGCCGAAUACUGAGGGACUAGAGUACGGGAGAGGAAAGUGGAAUUCCUGGUGUAGCGGUGAAAUGCGUAGAUAUCAGGAGGAACACCGGUGGUUGUAGACGGCUUUCUGGACCGUAACUGACGCUGAGACACGAAAGCGUGGGUAGCAAACAGGAUUAGAUACCCUGGUAGUCCACGCCCUAAACGAUGCAUAUCUGGUGUGGGCAGUUCAUUCUGUCCGUGCCGGAGCUAACGCGUUAAAUAUGCCGCCUGGGGAGUACAGUCGCAAGGCUGAAACUCAAGGAAUUGACGGGGGCCCGCACAAGCGGUGGAGCAUGUGGUUCAAUUCGACGCACCGCGAAGAACCUUACCUGGGCUCGAACGGCUUCUCAACGCCGGUAGAAAAUACUGGUACCC